UGACGAGGGUAUUAUAUGUAAAUUUUCAAUGUUGUAUAGUUUAAACAAAACGAUGUCUAUCUCGUUGAAGAUUUUCAUAUCCAUUUUGGUUGGUGUUUGCUUUAACUAGUAGUGUCUUAAUAUAAUGUUACUAUUUUGAUGUUAGUUUUGUUACUCAAAUUAUACUUGUUCAAUGUAGUAGCACAACAAACAUUUUCUAAAAUCUUAAGUUUAACAAUAUGAGAUGUUUCUUUAGCAUCAACUAAUGUUUCUCACUAGAUAGAAAACUAUGGCAUCGUAUGCGCUUACGAGUAUAUAGAUACAAACUUGUGCACGGAUUCCAAUCGUUCGUGCACGCUUGGUGUUUACGUCAAAGGAAAUAGAACACUGUGUAUACCCUCGGCAUUCCAGCUCGAUUGGUAGAAUAUUGGAAGUUUGGGAAUUCCUUUAUCUUCUACUCCUAACCCCCCCUGUGUUCUUUCUCCCUCUCUCUUCUUUACUAGAAAAUUCAUUACCUUGGCUUUAUAACAACGCAAAACAUUUUCUUGACUUUGUUGUUAUUACUAACUACAAAAACAAUCAAGUAAAUUUUUAACAUUUAAGUAUAAUGUUUUGCUUUUUUUUUUCUCUUUUCAAUUUAUAAUUAUUUUUAUAUUUUUUAGCAGCAAUAAUUUGAGCAGCACUUUAUGUAUAAAGGAUUAAAAUUUAUAUAUGACUAGUAAAGUUUUUAGAGUGUCAACUCGAUCAUUGUCGGUUUUUUUUUUUUUUUUUUUUUUUUUGUUUAUAAAAAUGAUAUAUAUUUUUUAAAUCCAUCAUCUUCAAAUUCACAAUGCCGUACAUACAAUAUAAAUAUAUCAAAUAUGGUAUCACGUCAUCAUGUGUUUACCAAAGUGAGGCAUCCUUUUUCAUUCAUGUAUAUAUAAAUAGAUAUUCAUAUGCCCAAAGUAUAUAUAUACAUAUUCUAGCCAUGUGCGGAGUUUGAAUAACUUGUGUUUACUCAUGAAUUCCUCUAUGUAAAUAGGCAUGCCUGCAUCCUUGAGUUGUUCAACUGUUAUGCAUAGCACAUAUUGUAUAUAUCUGUAUACAUAAAAGUUGCAAAAUAGAGUUACUUAAAAACAACUUUAAAGAAUUUCAUUUUUUUGUUUUUUUUUAUAUAUUUUUUUAAUAUACAUUUUCAUUGAGGUAGUGGUAUGAAAAAACAAGUGGCAGGCAUGCGUUUGUAUUUUUGCAGUCUCUAGUGAGGCAUUUCAAUUUUUUUAUUUAUUUUUUUUACAUCUUUUUGGUUAAGAACGAGCGAUUUCAUAUCCUGACUAUCAUAAAACACUUUUAUUUCUUCAGUCACUCUUCUAAAUUCCCCUCCAAUACAAGGGUAAAAAUUGAGGAAAGUUAAAAAAGGAAAAAUAAAAAAAUAUUGUUCAAAGGUGAGACAGAAGUAACAUUGAAACAAAGAAACGAUGAAACACAACCACGUGAGGAAAAAAAAUGUGUGGAUCGAGUCGACAGACAAAAAAAAAUGAAAAAGAAAAAAAGAAACAUUGGAGGUAAGCAGCAUGGUUUUCUAAUGUAAAAAACCUAUGCUAUUCCGCUUUCUAGUUGAGAAUUCACAAGGGUCUCUCAUACAUAUGGGAACAAUUUACAAAAAUUAUUCGAGACCUUAUGUAUAUACAUAUAUAGAUAAUGUACACAAAGGGGAGAAAAAAAAAGCUCUCUUUUAUUUUUUAUGUUUAAAUGUAUUUUUUUUUUCGACAAGCACAUACUAUUACGAAAAGAUUUUCAUGAUUUUCGAAAUAGACACGUAUGUCGAAAAAUACAAAUUUUAAAAUUUUUUUUUAUUAAAGUGAAAUUGGAUUGUCAAACUCUUGAUAGUUAUAGAAAAAAAAAAUAAAUGAAACAAUAAUAAAAUAUUAAAGAAAAUAUAAAUAUAAAAAAAAAAAUUAACAAAAAAAAAAACAUAAAUGAGAAGAAAAUAGGAGGGUAGUCGGAGCGAGGAUUGAAUUUUUCGUGCUUAAAGGUCGAUUAAUUUAGCCGCGGAGAAACGGUUUUACUAGCGUUGGAAGCGCCCUGUCAGAAGCACUGAUUGAAAUAUAGGGCGGAAAAGCCUCGAGCCAUGAGUUGCCGAGUUGAACACAGUACGCUUGGAAAAAGCCCCUGGGGGUGGAAGCGAGACGGUCGAUUUAAAUCAGCCCGCAGCACCCUUUGGGUGAUCCCUGAAUAAUUCACUAUCGAAAUUGUGGCAAGGCACCCCCUAUAAUCGGAGACAAGACCUAGCAUGGUACUCCAACAUUCUGCUACAAUCUCCAUGUCAAAAAAAAGUUACUUAAACGAAAAGAAAAAAAAAAACAUUUACACUACCAUUUACAAAUAUUUUAUCACAACAAAUUACAAUGUUAUAUUUCAUAGACAAUUUAUUCAUGACAGUGAUCCCGUGUAUAUAUUUCAAAAUAAAAAAAAAUAUUUAUCGACCACGAGAGUUGUAAAAAAAAAAUAAAAAAUAUUCUCUACUAUGCGUGGCGUGUUUAACGAACAUCGUGGGUUCAAUUGAAAAGUUGUAAAAUAUUAAUAUCAAAAAAUUAUCAAAGUGCCAAUAAUAAUUAUUUUAAACUUUUAUUUUUUAAUGUAAAAUCAAUUAUCUAUUACGCGUACAAUUUUUUUUUAAAUAAAUAUUGCGAGCUUUUGUCAGUUAAAGCUUAAAAAAAAAAUGAUGUUAUAUAUGCAACACCUGCAAUGGAAAAACUGAGAUAAUUUUCAUCUUUAAAAAUAUUAUAUUUAAUGAUGGACCUUUUUUUUUUUUUAUUAUUUUUUUAUUCAACAUUAAUUAUUGCUUGACUAGUAUUGAUUAUUCAGCCGUUAAUAGAGAAAUUAGAUUUCAUUAUAAAGGCACAGUGAAAAUUUAAGUGUAGACACAUGGUAAAAUACAAACGAGGGUGGUGGUCACUCGUUUGUUUUCAGAGUUGUGGUAAUUUAGCGUAGCCAACUGGCUGAUUUUGUGAGUGACGUGACAAUCACAGAACACAAUCACAUUGAGAAUUUACAUUGGUUUAUACAGUGAUACUGAAUUGUACUUGAAUCUACUCACUAAUGCACCAUGUAUUUUCCCGAGGAUUUGUCACCAUUGUGUUCUUGAUCCUGCCCUGACAUAAGUCCAAAAAUAAUACAACGUAUCAUCCUCAUAUAAAAAAAUUGAUUAAUCACUAAAUAAAAAAUUUAAUUAAAUGAAAAAAUAAAGAAAAAUUAUUUAUUAAAAAUAAAAAAUCUUCUCUGUCAUCUUUUUAAAUUACGUCAAUCUCAACAACCCAUCGAGUAAAACCAUCCAUCUAACAGUCACGUGAAGUACUUGCCCACAAAAUUUCAUUAAUAUUACACUAAUUAAUAUCGUUUCGUCGUUGAUUAAUAGUUAAUGUAAAAUCUUCUUACCUUGUUUUUCACUACAGAUAAAAAGUAGAGAGAAAAAAUUCGAAUUAACCCUCAACAAAUGAGAAAAUGAAGCAAUUUUACUCUAUAUAUAUAUAACAUCGUCACAGAAUAACAUCAUUUUGGGUCUAUAUAUAUAUUUAAAAAGGGAUUGAGUCAACAAAAGCACGAGAGAUUACAUCGAGUGGAAUGGCAAAUACUUAUCUGGUAUGUAUAUAAACUGAAAUAAACUGCGAGUGCAUUGUCAAUAGACACAGUUGAGAAUUUAAAAAAUUAUAAAUAUUUUCAUAAUGUUUGUAUUGUAAAAUUUUUUUUUAUGUCAUUUUGUUGUUGUUAUUCUUUGUAUCGGUUUUUAUGGUUUAUAAAGCCUAUAAAUAUAUGUAUAUGUAUAAAAACGCGUCAUCUAGUUUACGCGGUAUAUACGUGGGCAUACAAAAUAUUGUGUAUGCAGCCUGGUGCCAACAUAAAAUAUGUACACUAUAAACCCAGCGAGUCUAGUUUUCAUAUGAGACUUGCAAUACAUCUUACCAAUAUAAAUCACAUUGUAAAUUUAUACGAUGCUAUAAGCGGCUUUUUGGUGAAAGUCUAACCAAAAAUCGUUUCAGAAUAAUCUAUAACUUUUGGCAUAACAAUUCUACUCAGGAAACGGCAAAAUAUUCACGUUCAAUAAUCUCAAGCGACCCCGUAAAUUUUUGUGUAUAUAUGCACGUGUAUAUGCUCAAAUGUAUAAGAGUGUAUAUAUGUUAUAUAUCUGGUAAGUUAUUUUUCAAUUUGUGCAGGUUGGAUCCCACUUGUGACCUCGGGAAAUUGGAAGGAGGCGAUAAAGUGACUUUUUUUCUGUCGAAUCAAUCAUGGGAUAUAUUUUUUUGUUAGAUCAUACUAUCUGCAAAGAUAUGUUGGUACAUAUAUUGCCAACGACAUACUGUAUGUUAAAUCAACAAAAAAAAUACAUAGCUGAUUUUUUCAAUAAGGUUAUAUAAAUAUAUAUGUAUACGAUUAUAUUAAUUUUUUUUAUUAUUUUAAGUUAAGUUUGUGUAAUCUGAAUUAUGAUGCUCCAUUAAUGAUAUAAAGCGCAUUUUUUUUUUUUUUAAGAAGCGACGUCUUUUAACGAAAGCAAAAGGCUAUUUAAUUUAAUUUAAGUAUUUCGUUUUUUUUUUUUUUUGCUGUAUAUACAUUUCGUGUCUAAAGAAAAUAUUUUUUUAUAAAUUUUCUAUACACAUUUUUACCAGUCUUGACAGAUCAUUCACCUUGUAAUUUUGAGAUAAACAAAAAAAGAAAAAUGAUGAAAAAUGAAACACAGAAAAAUAAGAUGAAGUGAAAAAAGUAAGGUAAAAUAAAUAGAAAAAAAAAAAUUAUAUAAAGUAACGUACAUAAAGUAUAAAACCUGACACAUCAAAGUAACGUUCUUAAGGGGAACAAAUUUAUCCUUCCACGUUGCAAUUUAGUCCCGAAUCAUUUACUCGGCAGAACAUUGCCACCAAAAGAGACAAGCCAGAGGAAAAGAGAAACUGAAUGAGUGACAUCAAGCUCGGGUAGCCGAGAAGGCGAAGCUUUCGAAAAAUUGUAUCACUAAAUUUUCAUGGCAACCACCAUCAUUUACCUAAACUCAACAAGGUUCAUCUUUCUACUGCUACAAAGUCUGGGGUUUGAGUUCCAAUUCAAAGUGCCAUUGAGCGUGAUAAAAAAAAAAUCCAAUUUAAUGCUACGGCUUAUAGCCUGGUCAUGCUGAAGCCGGAG
rnacentral:lncRNA from 1 species